rnacentral:rRNA from 1 species
UACGUAGGGUGCAAGCGUUGUCCGGAAUUAUUGGGCGUAAAGAGCUCGUAGGCGGUUUGUCGCGUCUGCUGUGAAAACUCGGGGCUUAACCCCGGGCCUGCAGUGGGUACGGGCAGACUAGAGUGCGGUAGGGGAGACUGGAAUUCCUGGUGUAGCGGUGAAAUGCGCAGAUAUCAGGAGGAACACCGGUGGCGAAGGCAGAUCUCUGGGCCGUAACUGACGCUGAGGAGCGAAAGCAUGGGGAGCGAACAGG